rnacentral:rRNA from 1 species
CCUACGGGAGGCUGCAGUGAGGAAUAUUGGUCAAUGGGCUUACGCCUGAACCAGCCAAGUCGCGUGAGGGAAGACUGCCCUAUGGGUUGUAAACCUCUUUUGUCAGGGAGCAAUUGGCGCUACGUGUAGCGUUAUCGAGAGUACCUGAAGAUAAAGCAUCGGCUAACUCCGUGCCAGCAGCCGCGGUAAUACGGAGGAUGCGGGCGUUAUCCGGAUUUAUUGGGUUUAAAGGGUGCGUAGGCGGAAUGCAAAGUCAGCGGGAAAAUCGCGGGGCUCAACCUCGCUCCGCCGUUGAAACUGGCGUUCUUGAGUGGGCGAGAAGUAUGCGGAAUGCGUGGUGUAGCGGUGAAAUGCAUAGAUAUCACGCAGAACUCCGAUUGCGAAGGCAGCAUACCGGCGCCCAACUGACGCUGAAGCACGAAAGCGUGGGUAUCGAACAGGAUUAGAUACCCGGGUAGUC